UCCAGACUCCUACGGAGGCAGCAGUGGGGAUUAUUGCACAAUGGGGGAAACCCUGAUGCAGCGACGCCGCGUGAGUGAAGAAGUAUUUCGGUAUGUAAAGCUCUAUCAGCAGGGAAGAAAAUGACGGUACCUGAUUAAGAAGCCCCGGCUAACUACGUGCCAGCAGCCGCGGUAAUACGUAGGGGGCAAGCGUUAUCCGGAUUUACUGGGUGUAAAGGGAGCGUAGACGGCAGCACAAGUCUGGAGUGAAACCCCGGGGCUCAACCCCGGGACUGCAUUGGAAACUGGCGGGCUGGAGUGUCGGAGGGGCAGGCGGAAUUCCUGGUGUAGCGGUGAAAUGCGUAGAUAUCAGGAGGAACACCGGUGGCGAAGGCGGCCUGCUGGACGACAACUGACGCUGAGGCUCGAAAGCGUGGGGAGCAAACAGGAUUAGAUACCCUAGUA
rnacentral:rRNA from 1 species